rnacentral:rRNA from 1 species
GACGUAGGGGGGCGAGCGUUGUCCGGAGUACUGGGCGUAAAGCGCACGCAGGCGGUCUGCUAAGUUUGGAGUGACAGUUGGUGGCUUAACUGCCAAAGUGCUUCGAAAACUGAACAGACUUGAGGGCUUACAGAGGGACACGGAAUUCCGGGGUGGAGUGGUGAAAUGACGUAGAGAUCCGGAAGGAACACCAAAGGCGAAGGCAGUGUCCUAGGGGAGUACCUGACGCUCGAGGUGCGAAAGCCAGGGGAGCGAACGGG